AACGAACGCUGGCGGCAGGCUUCACACAUGCAAGACGAGCGCCCCGCAAGGGGAGCGGCAGACGGGAGAGUAACGCGUGGGAAUCUACCCAUCUCUACGGAAUAACGCAUGGAAACGUGUGCUAAUACCGUAUACGUCCUUCGGGAGAAUGCUUUAUCGGUGAUGGAUGGGCCCGCGUUGGAUUAGCUAGUUGGUGGGGUAAAGGCCUACCAAGGCGACGAUCCAUAGUUGGUCUGAGAGGAUGAUCAGCCACACUGGGACUGAGACACGGCCCAGAUUCCUACGGGAGGCAGCAGUGGUGAAUAUUGGACAAUGGGCGCAAGCCUGAUCCAGCCAUGCCGCGUGAGUGAUGAAGGCCCUAGGGUUGUAAAGCUCUUUCACCGGUGAAUAUAAUGACGGUAACCGGAGAAGAAGCCCCGGCUAACUUCGUGCCAGCCGCCGCAGUAACAC
rnacentral:rRNA from 1 species